rnacentral:rRNA from 1 species
GAUGAACGCUGGCGGCGUGCCUAAUACAUGCAAGUCGAGCGAACAGACGAGGAGCUUGCUCCUCUGACGUUAGCGGCGGACGGGUGAGUAACACGUGGAUAACCUACCUAUAAGACUGGGAUAACUUCGGGAAACCGGAGCUAAUACCGGAUAACAUGUUGAACCGCAUGGUUCAACAGUGAAAGACGGUCUUGCUGUCGCUUAUAGAUGGAUCCGCGCCGCAUUAGCUAGUUGGUAAGGUAACGGCUUACCAAGGCAACGAUGCGUAGCCGACCUGAGAGGGUGAUCGGCCACACUGGAACUGAGACACGGUCCAGACUCCUACGGGAGGCAGCAGUAGGGAAUCUUCCGCAAUGGGCGAAAGCCUGACGGAGCAACGCCGCGUGAGUGGAGAAGGUCUUCGGAUCGUAAAACUCUGUUAUUAGGGAAGAACAAAUGUGUAAGUAACUAUGCACGUCUUGACGGUACCUAAUCAGAAAGCCACGGCUAACUACGUG